rnacentral:rRNA from 1 species
CAGUCGCCGCGGGAAUACGAAGGGGGCUAGCGUUGUUCGGAAUUACUGGGCGUAAAGCGCACGUAGGCGGAUAUUUAAGUCAGGGGUGAAAUCCCAGAGCUCAACUCUGGAACUGCCUUUGAUACUGGGUAUCUUGAGUAUGGAAGAGGUGAGUGGAAUUCCGAGUGUAGAGGUGAAAUUCGUAGAUAUUCGGAGGAACACCAGUGGCGAAGGCGGCUCACUGGUCCAUUACUGACGCUGAGGUGCGAAAGCGUGGGGAGCAAACAGGAUUAGAUACCCCCGUAGUCCCUGUCUCUUAUAC